AAAAAGUGGCUUGGGUAAUUGCUUGAAUCUUGAUGAUUAUUCCAGUGAGAGCCCAUAGUCGCAACGCAAGCAUGGAAGAGGAGGUCCCAGAGGGUCAAAACUGAGGGGCUGUCAUCGGGAGCUCCUUUCCUUCACUCUCGAUCGCCUUCACAAGGUAAAAAAAAAAAAGUUUUGAUUCCAACCGAAGUUCUUCAGUGAUGGAAGCGGAAUGAUAUUGUUAUUUCUUGUAAUUGAAACUUUGAAAGGAACCGGAACUUCUCGAGUAGAUGCGGAGAGAAUACAGAGGCAAAUGCAAGAUUUUGUGAUAUUUAAUUUUUUUAUUUAUAUACUUUGGUUUUGUUCACCCAAUUUUAACAAUCAUGUUCCUGCUCCACGAAGUUGUUCUGAGCGUUGAGUUUGAUUUUUUGAAACAAACAUUUCCAAUUUUAAC
rnacentral:lncRNA from 1 species